UUCAGCUGUCAGCCCUCGCCUGUCUGUGUGCUGUGCCGCGCUCUCUUGUGGCCCCUGGCCUUUCCCAUCAGUGAAGGCUUGUUUUGACCGCGGCGCAGCAAAGGAAGCCAACCAAAAUGAGUGCCGGUCUGCACCCGGUGAACUAACAGGAAGCUCGCUAUUAACGGCAGUGCUCAUGACGAAGAGGAAAACAAAAACCCCGAACAACAAAUCCUCGGCGGAGAUUCUGACCCACAACAAGACAAGCUGGCACAGGGCUGUGCAGCAGCUACGCCAGGCUUGUUCAUGGCAUUUCUAUGGCUGUUUGGACGAGCGGGAGAGAUUACACAAGCAAAG